AAUCAAGUGAGCUACCUAACUAAAAAGCCGUCGUUAUUAAUAGGCGCGUGCUGCAACUUUGGCCACCCCUGGAGUCUUGCUACCCCGAAACGCGUCUGUAAUGUCCCGAAACGUUGUGUGGCUACGCAGCUCGACAAAUAAUAAUCAUCAGCGAAAAUAUGGAGAGAGGUUCAGACGCUUGGAGAAGAUUGAUUUGUACCCACAUAAGAAGGGCAACGAAAGCAACCUAAAUACUGUGGCAGAAGUACACUGAAUGGUACUGUAAGAGAGAUGCUUGAUUGGUUAUCAGUUGAGAGUUUUAAGGUAAACAAUUUGUUGAAAUACUAAUUAAAGACUGAUUUUAGAAUACAAAUACAUUGUUUCCAAAUUUAGAGAACACUUACUAAUAUCAAGAAACAAGUACUAAUAUCUAUAGUAAGCAAUCUCUAACAUGUUUACUUUCUCAUUUGCUAUAAAAAAGCAGUUAGCAAAAUUCCUCUAAAUUCUCCCACUAAAUCCUCCUAGCAAAAUUCAGGAAGGAAUAAAAAUGCCCCCUGAUAUGGUAAUGUCUGUGUUGAGGUAUUUUGAUUUUGGGAUGUGGGAUCAGAUUUGUGGACUUUCCCUUCUCUACCCACUCUUGCCACCAUUUACUUUGUUUGAAUUCAUCUGAAUUCUGGACUAACAAUGUGGCUAAAGCAUCAGCAUGAUUCUUCUCCUGUUUAAAUCGUCAUCCUGUUAUUCCAACCACUAUAAAGCAUAACUCCCGUUCAUAAUGAUUUCAAAAAGAUAUGCUGAAGUUUUUUUAAUAGGCAGAUAAACUGGGUCAUGAAGUUUUCCCCAGAUGGCCAUGGGGCCAUUUCCUGUGCAUGCAAGCAGAAAGAUUUUAAAACCACUGUAAACAGAUGAAUGGAGCAUAUCCUGCCAGCAAAUGCUAAAAUGAAAUAACUGCUACCCACGGUUGUGUGUGCCUGGUAUCAUGGUUUUCUAUUGAAGCGGUCUGUUCUGAAUAUACUGUUAUUUUAUAUUCACCUUGGAAAUAACGUUAACAUUCAGAUCUUUCUGUGAAUUGGUUGU